AGAGUUUGAUCCUGGCUCAGAGUGAACGCUGGCGUAAGGCCUAACACAUGCAAGUCGAACGGCAGCACAGUAAGAGCUUGCUCUUACGGGUGGCGAGUGGCGGACGGGUGAGGAAUACAUCGGAAUCUACUUUUUCGUGGGGGAUAACGUAGGGAAACUUACGCUAAUACCGCAUACGACCUACGGGUGAAAGCAGGGGAUCUUCGGACCUUGCGCGAUUGAAUGAGCCGAUGUCGGAUUAGCUAGUUGGCGGGGUAAAGGCCCACCAAGGCGACGAUCCGUAGCUGGUCUGAGAGGAUGAUCAGCCACACUGGAACUGAGACACGGUCCAGACUCCUACGGGAGGCAGCAGUGGGGAAUAUUGGACAAUGGGCGCAAGCCUGAUCCAGCCAUACCGCGUGGGUGAAGAAGGCCUUCGGGUUGUAAAGCCCUUUUGUUGGGAAAGAAAUCCAGCUGGUUAAUACCCGGUUGGGAUGACGGUACCCAAAGAAUAAGCACCGGCUAACUUCGUGCCAGCAGCCGCGGUAAUACGAAGGGUGCAAGCGUUACUCGGAAUUACUGGGCGUAAAGCGUGCGUAGGUGGUCGUUUAAGUCUGUUGUGAAAGCCCUGGGCUCAACCUGGGAACUGCAGUGGAAACUGGACGACUAGAGUGUGGUAGAGGGUAGCGGAAUUCCUGGUGUAGCAGUGAAAUGCGUAGAGAUCAGGAGGAACAUCCAUGGCGAAGGCAGCUACCUGGGACCAACACUGACACUGAGCACGAAAGCGUGGGGAGCAAACAGAUUAGAUACCCUGGUAGUCCACGCCCUAAACGAUGCGAACUGGAUGUUGGGUGCAAUUUGGCACGCAGUAUCGAAGCUAACGC
rnacentral:rRNA from 1 species